UCUAUGAGAAUAUUUGAACAUCGCAGUAUUUGGAAACAAACGAUCAGAAACAAAAGGCUGAGUGUAACUUAAUCUUUCCUUUUUGUGGGGUGAGAGAAAGGCUGGAGAAUAUGCAUUGGUUAAAUUUGGUACGCCUUCCUGUGGGGUCCUGAACAUUUCUAGAGAUAAGAGUUUUAAGAGAGGAUAAUUUGAAUACAUUGCUUUCAAGCUGGAUAUCUUUGGUCACCUGCAAAACUCUUAUAUUCAAAAGAUAGCUUUUCUGUCAUGUAGUGUCAUUACAUUGCCUGAAAAUUGUACAAGGAAAUCUCCAACUAAAUCUGUAGAUUUGUUUCUUCUAAUGUGGAAAAGAAAACCUGGACUAAUAGCCGAAACAACAGCAACAGAACAAUUUUUCCUUGUUUCCUUCUACUAAGGGCUGGAAUUUCAGAGGGGGCUGCCUCCAUAGAGAUUGAGGUGUCAAGCCUGUCAGGCUUCUUCAGAGUGCUGGUGUAUGCUGUUUUAUAGGAGUGGGCUCUAAUAUCACGUAGGCUCCAAUAUCUGGCACCUGAUCCUGUAAGUAUGUUAUGCCUUUUCUUAAAAGACUUGUCAGAAUUGCCCUAGUUUCUGAAUCAUAUUUGGAAAUAUGUAUGAAAUAGUGAAAGUUCAGUGUGGUCAGUGCUGAGAUCACUGAUU
rnacentral:lncRNA from 1 species